rnacentral:lncRNA from 1 species
AUUGCAAUAAUCCUGGGAAUUGUAUGCUUGUUUCUCCUACUGGCAAUCACAGUCUUAGGAUAUAUGUAUUCUCAGACAAAUUCUAAGUGCAAUACACAAGAUACGAAAGACACAAGAGAAAGGAAUGUUUCUGUACCAGGAGCUGAGGAUCACUCGGUUUUACCACUUGGCACAGUUAAAGACUAUGGUACAUGUCAAGGAAGCUGGUCCUGCUGUGGAAAAG